rnacentral:rRNA from 1 species
GACAGAGGGUGCAAACGUUGUUCGGAAUUACUGGGCGUAAAGCGUGUGUAGGCGGCCAUGUAAGUCGGAUGUGAAAGCCCCGGGCUCAACCCGGGAAGUGCAUUCGAUACUGCGUGGCUUGAGUAUCGGAGAGGUUGGUGGAAUUCUCGGUGUAGAGGUGAAAUUCGUAGAUAUCGAGAGGAACACCGGUGGCGAAGGCGGCCAACUGGACGAAUACUGACGCUGAGACACGAAAGCGUGGGGAGCAAACAGG